UACGUAGGGUGCGAGCGUUGUCCGGAAUUACUGGGCGUAAAGAGCUCGUAGGUGGUUUGUCGCGUUUGUUCGUGAAAACCGGGGGCUUAACCCUCGGCGUGCGGGCGAUACGGGCAGACUUGAGUACUGCAGGGGAGACUGGAAUUCCUGGUGAUAGCGGUGGAAUACGCAGAUAUCAGGAGGAACACCGGUGGCGAAGGCGGGUCUCUGGGCAGUAACUGACGUGGAGGAGCGAAAGCGUGGGGAGCGAAACAGG
rnacentral:rRNA from 1 species